rnacentral:rRNA from 1 species
AAUAUUGGUCAAUGGUCGAAAGACUGAACCAGCCAUGUCGCGUGAAGGAUGACGGCCCUAUGGGUUGUAAACUUCUUUUGUAUGGGAAGAAAAGCAGUUACGUGUAAUUGUCUGCCGGUACCAUACGAAUAAGGAUCGGCUAACUCCGUGCCAGCAGCCGCGGUAAUACGGAGGAUCCAAGCGUUAUCCGGAUUUAUUGGGUUUAAAGGGUGCGUAGGCGGCUCUAUAAGUCAGUAGUGAAAUCUCGAAGCUCAACUUCGAACGUGCUAUUGAAACUGUAGAGCUUGAGUACAGGCGAGGCAGGUGGAAUGUGUUGUGUAGCGGUGAAAUGCUUAGAUAUAACACAGAACACCGAUAGCGAAGGCAGCUUGCCAGACUGUAACUGACGCUGAGGCACGAAAGCGUGGGGAGCGAACAGGAUUAGAUACCCUGGUAGUCCACGCCGUA